ACGGGUCUGAUAAACGUAAGCUGGGAUUGUCUUUCGAGUUUGUGCAUUAAGCUUUCGUUAGUUAGAAGGAAGGAGAUUAUCCAUCCUUCCAAAGUAAGGAAACUAGUGUCAAGUUUAUCGGGAAGACGACGAACAUGAGAGACCAUUAAUGUUGUACUAGUUAUCUGUAAGUGGUCAUCACUCCUGAUAACUUAGUGAGUAGCUACACAUAAAAAACCGAAUUUUAAGACCACGAAAGAGAAGAAGAAGAAGCGACUUUAGUUGACUGACAGAAGGCCGAAAGAGGUAAACUGAGCAUGCGCGGGCGUCUUCACAACGUCGGCCAUAUUAGAAUUUCCUAGCGAGAGAAAGAGGUGAAUAUUUCUAAUCACCGUUACUCUGAAUAAAGUGUAUGGUCAUUUUCGGUUUGCUCUGUAGGGUGAUGG